GCCCCUAUAGCUCAGGGGUAGAGCGUUGCACUUGUAAUGCAAAGGCCGAUAGUUCAAAUCUGUCUGGGGGCA
rnacentral:tRNA from 2 species